UACGUAGGUGGCAAGCGUUGUCCGGAUUUACUGGGCGUAAAGAGCGCGCAGGCGGUCGUUCAAGUCGAGUGUGAAAGCCCCCGGCUCAACUGGGGAGGGUCAUUCGAUACUGAUCGACUCGAAGGCAGGAGAGGGAAGUGGAAUUCCCGGUGUAGUGGUGAAAUGCGUAGAUAUCGGGAGGAACACCAGUGGCGAAGGCGGCUUGCCAGAACGCGCUCGACGGUGAGGGAUGAAAGCUGGGGGAGCAAACCGG
rnacentral:rRNA from 1 species